rnacentral:tRNA from 1 species
GCGGGGGUACCCAAGAUGGCCAAAGGGGGCAGACUUAAGAUCUGCUGGCUUAGUGCCUGCGUGGGUUCAAAUCCCACCCCCCGCA